rnacentral:rRNA from 1 species
UACGGAGGGGGCUAGCGUUGUUCGGAAUUACUGGGCGUAAAGCGUACGUAGGCGGCUUUGUAAGUUAGAGGUGAAAGCCCGGGGCUCAACUCCGGAAUUGCCUUUAAGACUGCAUCGCUUGAAUUGUGGAGAGGUAAGUGGAAUUCCGAGUGUAGAGGUGAAAUUCGUAGAUAUUCGGAAGAACACCAGUGGCGAAGGCGACUUACUGGACACAUAUUGACGCUGAGGUGCGAAAGCGUGGGGAGCAAACAGG